AAACGCUAGCGGGACGCCUAACUCAUGCAAGUCGAACGUUUCUAUUUUGGAGCUUGCUCCUAGAUAUGAAAAGUGGCAAACGAGCGAGGAACACGUACCUAACCUGCCCAGAAGACGGGAACAACCAUAGAGAUAUGGCUAAUUCCCGAUAAUCUCCAGAAAAUGAAAAUAUCUGGAGCAAAGAUUUAUCGCUUUUGGAGGGGGGUGCGUCCUAUCAGGUAGUUGGUGGGGUAAUAGCCUACCAAGCCUAUGACGGGUAGCCGGUCUGAGAUGAUGUCCGGCCGCGAUGGGACUGAGACACGGCCCAUACUCCUAUGGGAGGCAGCAGUGGGGAAUCUUGCACAAUGGACGAAAGUCUGAUGCAGCGAUCCCGCGUGGAGGACGACGCCCUAUGGGGUGUAAACUCCUUUUCUGGUGGAAGAAGAAUGACGGUACACCAGGAAUAAGAGACGGCUAACUACGUGCCAGCAGCCGCGGUAAUACGUAGGUCUCGAGCGUUAUCCGGAUUUACUGGGCGUAAAGCGUCCGUAGCCUGAUGUAUAAGUCUGUUUUCAAAUAUUCUGGCUCAACCAGAAAAAGGGGAUAGAUACUGUAUAUCUAGAGAUUGUUAGGGGUUAGUGGAAUUUCAGGUGGAGCGGUGAAAUGCGUUGAUAUCCGAAAGAAUGCCGAAAGCGAAAGCAGCUAACUAUAAUAAAUCUGACGGUGAUGGACGAAAGCUUGGGGAGCGAACGGGAUUAGAUACCCCGGUAGUCCAAGCUGUAAAUUAUGUUUGCUAGGUGUUUCUUCUUCGGAAGGAGUGCCGUAACCUAACGGGUUAAGCAAAUCGCCUGUGUAGUAUAUUCGCAAGAAUGAAACACAAAGGGAUAGGCGGGGGAACACACAAGCAGUGGAUUAUCUAGAUUAAUUGGAUAAUAAGCCAAGAAUCUUACCUGGAUUUGACAUACAUUGUGUCUACGGUGAAAGCCGUAUAUUUCAUAGCAAUAUGGGAGCUUUGUACAGGUGGUGCAUGGUCGUCGUCAGCUCGUGCCGCAAGGUGUCUAGUUAAGCCUAGGAACGAGCGCAACCCUCAUCAUUAGUUAGAAUGUCUAAUGAGACUGCCUGGGCAACCAGGAGGAAGGAGAGGAUGACGUCAGAUCCUCAUGCCCCUUACAUCCAGGGCUUCAUAGAUAAUACAAUGGGUAGUAACAGCGAGAAGCGAUACCGUGAGGUGGAGCAAAUCUUUAAACCUACCCCUAGUUCGGAUUGUAGUCUGGAACUUGACUACAUGAAGUUGGAAUUGCUAGUAAUGGCGAAUCAGCAAUGUCGCCGUGAAUAUGUCCCUGUUCCUUGCACUCACCGCCCGUCAAACCAUGGGAGUUGGGGUUCUCUGAAGAUUCGCUAUGCGGGUUAAGGAGAAAAUCAAUGACAGGGGUUAAGUCGUAACAAGGUA
rnacentral:rRNA from 1 species